CACAGCCAAAUGUAAAAGCUUCAGCAGAUGAACUGUAGGAGCAAAGUUCAUGUGUGAGACUUCAUCUGAAAGUCCCCCAGGUGGAGGUGGAUUCAGGGGUGGAGUCUGUCCAACUGCCCCUCAAAACCACACUUCACCUUCCUGAAGAAGCUAAA